rfam:Ixodes scapularis strain Wikel colony gcontig_1108379810816, whole genome shotgun sequence.
GCAGUCGUGGCCGAGUGGUUAAGGCGACGGACUAGAAAUCCAUUGGGGUCUCCCCGCACAGGUUCGAAUCCUGUUAACUGCG